rnacentral:rRNA from 1 species
UACGUAGGGGGCAAGCGUUGUCCGGAAUCAUUGGGCGUAAAGCGCGUGUAGGCGGCCAGAAAAGUCCGCUGUGAAAGCUCGAGGCUCAACUUCGAGCUGUCGGUGGAAACUUUCUGGCUAGAGUCCGGAAGAGGAGAAUGGAAUUCCUGGUGUAGCGGUGAAAUGCGCAGAUAUCAGGAAGAACACCCGUGGCGAAGGCGGUUCUCUGGGACGGUACUGACGCUGAAGAACGAAAGCCAGGGGAGCAAACGGG